rnacentral:misc_RNA from 1 species
GUGUGUUUAGCUUCUCUGUGUCUCUCUUUCUCCUCCAGAUGGCAACAGCAGUAAUCUCCGAGUCCAAAAAGGCGCCGCGGCCUGGUCGGGGUGGAUACCAAGCCCACGGCCUGAGUGAAGAGGAAGCCCGGGUACGAGCCAUAGCAGAAAUCGUCAACUCCAUGGUGGAACUCUCGCGAAAGAACCUAACUGUGGACCUCAACGCUAUUAAAUCCGCCGCCUGCCGCAAGUACGGCCUUGCGCGAGCCCCAAAACUCGUGGAGAUGAUCGCGGCUCUUCCCGAGUCCGACCGCGAAUCGCUACUUCCGAAGCUCCGCGCCAAGCCGGUUCGCACCGCCUCUGGAAUUGCUGUCGUCGCCGUCAUGUCGAAACCGCAUCGGUGCCCUCAUAUUGCAACAACGGGAAAUAUUUGCGUUUAUUGUCCUGGUGGGCCGGAUUCAGAUUUUGAGUACAGCACGCAGUCCUACACUGGUUAUGAACCUACUAGCAUGCGUGCAAUUCGAGCCAGAUAUAACCCAUAUGUUCAGGCUAGAAGCAGGAUUGAUCAACUUAAGCGGUUGGGCCACAGUGUAGAUAAGGUCGAGUUCAUAUUGAUGGGUGGUACGUUCAUGUCAUUGCCAGCAGACUACCGUGAUUACUUUAUAAGGAAUCUUCAUGAUGCUUUGUCAGGACACACUUCUGCCAAUGUUGAAGAGGCAGUUGCCUACUCUGAGCAUAGUGCAACAAAGUGUAUUGGCAUGACAAUUGAAACGAGGCCAGAUUACUGCCUUGGACCUCAUUUGCGUCAAAUGCUUUCUUAUGGUUGUACGCGAUUGGAGAUUGGAGUUCAAAGCACAUAUGAGGAUGUUGCUCGGGAUACUAAUAGAGGACACACAGUAGCUGCUGUUGCUGAUUGUUUUUGCUUGGCAAAGGAUGCUGGUUUCAAGGUUGUUGCUCAUAUGAUGCCUGAUCUUCCAAAUGUUGGGGUUGAGCGAGACUUGGAAAGUUUUCGAGAGUUCUUUGAGAGUCCUUCAUUUAGAGCAGAUGGGCUGAAAAUUUAUCCCACACUCGUAAUUCGUGGAACUGGGCUUUAUGAGCUCUGGAAAACUGGCAGGUACAGAAAUUACCCACCUGAGCAACUUGUAGAUAUUGUAGCGAGAAUCCUAGCCAUGGUACCGCCUUGGACACGUGUCUAUAGAGUUCAACGGGAUAUUCCUAUGCCUUUGGUUACAUCUGGGGUUGAGAAGGGAAAUCUUAGGGAGCUAGCUUUAGCUCGAAUGGAUGACUUGGGUUUGAAAUGCCGUGAUGUCCGUACGCGUGAGGCUGGAAUCCAGGACAUUCAUCACAAAAUUAAACCAGAAGAAGUUGAGCUCAUUCGCCGAGAUUAUACAGCAAAUGAAGGUUGGGAAACAUUUCUUUCAUACGAGGAUACAAGACAGGAUAUCCUCGUUGGUUUAUUGCGAUUGCGAAAAUGUGGUCGAAAUGUUACUUGCCCAGAGCUCAUGGGAAAUUGCUCUAUUGUUCGUGAGCUCCAUG